AUUCCAGCUCCAAUAGCGUAUAUUAAAGUUGUUGCAGUUAAAAAGCUCGUAGUUGAACUUUGGGCUUGGUCAGCCGGUCCGCUUUUUUGCGUGUACUGGUCCUGACCGAGCCUUUCCUUCUGGCUAACCUGUCUCUCGGGGCAGGCGAACCAGGACUUUUACUUUGAAAAAAUUAGAGUGUUCAAAGCAGGCCUUUGCUCGAAUAUAUUAGCAUGGAAUAAUAGAAUAGGACGUUUGGUUCUAUUUUGUUGGUUUCUAGGACCAUCGUAAUGAUUAAUAGGGACGGUCGGGGGCAUCAGUAUUCAAUUGUCAGAGGUGAAAUUCUUGGAUUUAUUGAAGACUAACUACUGCGAAAGCAUUUGCCAAGGACGUUUUCAUUG
rnacentral:rRNA from 1 species